rnacentral:rRNA from 1 species
AUUGAACGCUGGCGGCAUGCCUUACACAUGCAAGUCGAACGGCAGCGCGGACUUCGGUCUGGCGGCGAGUGGCGAACGGGUGAGUAAUACAUCGGAACGUACCCUGUUGUGGGGGAUAACUAGUCGAAAGAUUAGCUAAUACCGCAUACGACCUGAGGGUGCAAGUGGGGGACCGGAAACGGCCUCAUGCAGCAGGAGCGGCCGAUGUCUGAUUAGCUAGUUGGUGGGGUAAAGGCCCACCAAGGCGACGAUCAGUAGCUGGUCUGAGAGGACGAUCAGCCACACUGGGACUGAGACACGGCCCAGACUACUACGGGAGGGAGCAGUGGGGAAUUUUGGACAAUGGGGGCAACCCUGAUCCAGCAAUGCCGCGUGUGUGAAGAAGGCCUUCGGGUUGUAAAGCACUUUUGUCCGGAAAGAAAUCGCGCUGGUUAAUACCUGGCGUGGAUGACGGUACCGGAAGAAUAAGCACCGGCUAACUACGUG